GAUGAACGCUGGCGGCGUGCCUAAUACAUGCAAGUCGAGCGAAGAGACGAGGAGCUUGCUCCUCUUACGUUAGCGGCGGACGGGUGAGUAACACGUGGAUAACCUACCUAUAAGACUGGGAUAACUUCGGGAAACCGGAGCUAAUACCGGAUAAUAUAUUUAACCACAUGGUUCAAUAGUGAAAGACGGUAUUGCUGUCACUUAUAGAUGGAUCCGCGCCGCAUUAGCUAGUUGGUAGGGUAACGGCUUACAAAGGCAACAAUGAGUAGCCGACCUGAGGGGGUGAUCGGCAACGCUGGAACUGAACAACGGUCAAGACUCCUACGGGAGGCAGAGGUAGGGAACUUUCGGCAAUGGGGGAAAGCCUAACGGACCACCGCCGCGUGAGGGAUGAAGGUCUCGGGAUCGUAAACCCCGGUUAUUAGGGAAGACCAAAUGUGUAAGUAACAAUGCACGUAGUGACGGUACCUAAUCAGAAAGCCACGGCUAGCUACGUG
rnacentral:rRNA from 1 species